GAUGAACGCUGGCGGCGUGCUUAACACAUGCAAGUCGAACGGAAAGGCCUCUGCUUGCUGGGGUACUCGAGUGGCGAACGGGUGAGUAACACGUGGGUGAUCUGCCCUGCACUUCGGGAUAAGCCUGGGAAACUGGGUCUAAUACCGGAUAGGACAAUGGUUUGGAUGCUGUUGUGGAAAGUUUUUCGGUGUGGGAUGAGCUCGCGGCCUUUCAGCUUGUUGGUGGGGUAAUGGCCUACCACGGCGUCGAGGGGUAGACGGCCUGAGAGGGUGUGCGGCCACAUUGUGGCUGUGAUACGGGGCAGAGUCCUAUGGGGGGGAGCGGAGGGGGAUAUAGUGCAAUAGGGGCGAGACUGAUGCAGAGACGCCGCGUGGGGGAUGACGGCCUUCGGGUUGUAAAAUCCUUUCGCUAGGGACGAGGCGUUUUUGUGACGGUACCUGGAGAAGAAGCACCGGCUAACUACGUG
rnacentral:rRNA from 1 species